rnacentral:rRNA from 1 species
GAUGAGCGCUGGCGGCGUGCCUAAUACAUGCAAGUCGAGCGAACGGACGAGAAGCUUGCUUCUCUGAUGUUAGCGGCGGACGGGUGAGUAACACGUGGAUAACCUACCUAUAAGACCGGGAUAACUUCGGGAAACCGGAGCUAAUACCGGAUAAUAUUUUGAACCGCAUGGUUCAAAAGUGAAAGACGGUCUUGCUGUCACUUAUAGAUGGAUCCGCGCUGCAUUAGCUAGUUGGUAAGGUAACGGCUUACCAAGGCAACGAUGCAUAGCCGACCUGAGAGGGUGAUCGGCCACACUGGAACUGAGACACGGUCCAGACUCCUACGGGAGGCAGCAGUAGGGAAUCUUCCGCAAUGGGCGAAAGCCUGACGGAGCAACGCCGCGUGAGUGAUGAAGGUCUUCGGAUCGUAAAACUCUGUUAUUAGGGAAGAACAUAUGUGUAAGUAACUGUGCACAUCUUGACGGUACCUAAUCAGAAAGCCACGGCUAACUACGUG